rnacentral:tRNA from 3 species
GGUCCCUUAGCUCAGUCGGUAGAGCAACGGACUGAAAAUCCGUGUGUCGCUGGUUCAAUUCCGGCAGGGACCACCA